rnacentral:rRNA from 1 species
CCUACGGGAGGCAGCAGUGAGGAAUAUUGGUCAAUGGACGAGAGGCUGAACCAGCCAAGUAGCGUGAAGGAUGACUGCCCUACGGGUUGUAAACUUCUUUUAUAAAGGAAUAAAACGAGGCACGUGUGCCUCUUUGCAUGUACUUGAUGAAUAAGGAUCGGCUAACUCCGUGCCAGCAGCCGCGGUAAUACGGAGGAUCCGAGCGUUAUCCGGAUUUAUUGGGUUUAAAGGGAGCGUAGAUGGGUUGUUAAGUCAGUUGUGAAAGUUUGCGGCUCAACCGUCAAAUUGCAAUUGAUACUGGCAGUCUUGAGUACAGUUGAGGUACGCGGAAUGCGUGGUGUAGCGGUGAAAUGCUUAGAUAUCGCGAAGAACCCCGAUUGCGAAGGCAGCGUACUAACCUGUGACUGACAUUGAUGCUCGAAAGUGUGGGUAUCAAACAGGAUUAGAUACCCGAGUAGUC